rnacentral:lncRNA from 1 species
CUGGAGAGAGGAAAGUGAAAUAGAGUGCAGAUUUCGCAAGGUCCUGUGUGCGUGGCAGUUACUCCGGAAUGGGGAGCAUUGCAGGAUUUUGAGCAGAAGAAUGACACCAUCUGACUUAUGUUUUAAAAUAAUUGCUCUGGCUGCUGUGUUUAGAACCAAAUGAAAGAGAAUAUUGACAGAAGCAAGGAAACCUGCUAGAAGGUUAUUACAAUAGUGCAUAGUACAGGGUGCAGGAGAUGAAUAUUGCUUGGAACAGGUUAGUAUGGAAAAGUGCUCAGAUUUUUUUUUUUGGG